rnacentral:rRNA from 1 species
AUUGAACGCUGGCGGCAGGCCUAACACAUGCAAGUCGAGCGGGGUUUUCGGACCUAGCGGCGGACGGGUGAGUAAUGCGUAGGAAGCUGCCCGAUAGAGGGGGAUACCAGUUGGAAACGACUGUUAAUACCGCAUAAUGUCUACGGACCAAAGUGUGGGACCUUCGGGCCACAUGCUAUCGGAUGCGCCUACGUGGGAUUAGCUAGUUGGUGAGGUAAUGGCUCACCAAGGCGACGAUCUCUAGCUGGUUUGAGAGGAUGAUCAGCCACACUGGAACUGAGACACGGUCCAGACUCCUACGGGAGGCAGCAAUGGGGAAUAUUGGACAAUGGGCGCAAGCCUGAUCCAGCCAUGCCGCGUGUGUGAAGAAGGCCUUAUGGUUGUAAAGCACUUUAAGCGAGGAGGAGGCUCUUUUGGUUAAUACCCAAGAUGAGUGGACGUUACUCGCAGAAUAAGCACCGGCUAACUCUGUGCCAGCCGCCGCAGUAAUAC